AUGUCGGCACCAGCAGCUCCGCCACCGCCGACGAUGUCGGCAUCCAAUCCCAUCUCCCCACGCUCCAGCAACCCUCUCCCCUCCACAACCUCCGCCACAACUCCUCUCGAGCUGCCCGGCGUGACCUCCGCCGCGGCCGCACGGAACCCUAGGAUCCACCACACCAGCGGUGUACUCCACCUCCACCGCUCCUCCUCCACCUUCCCCGCUUCAUGCUAUGCCUCCGCUGUCGCCGCCACCGCCACCCUCUUCCUCCUCCUCCGGGCCCGCCGCCCCACCGAUCCCCUGCAUCUCUCUACUCCAGGUAACGAUCCCGCCUCGAUUUCUCACCAAUUUGCUCUUUUCCGCGUGCCGCGCCUCCUGGUGCUCGCCGUUCCAACCCGGGUCACGCCGGACGACUUCGUCCGUUUCUGCGGCCCCUACGUCGAGCACGCCUCUGAGAUCCGUGUCAUCAGCGAUGAUGGGGUGGAGGACCGGUAUGUGCUUGUUGAGUUUGAGGAUCAGAAGAGUGCCGAUGGAUUCUACCUGGACCUCAAUGGCUGGAGGUUCUCGUCCUCAGAGGUAGAGGUGUGCCAUGAUCUGUUUAUAGUUGCUGUGCAACACACAUCAUCCACUGAGCUUCUUACAACCUCUGAGGCAUAG
rnacentral:rRNA from 1 species